GUGUCAGCAGCCGCGGUAAUACAUAGGGGCCAAGCGUUAUCCGGAUUUAUUGGGCGUAAAGCGCGUGUAGGUGGCUGACUAAGUCAGGUGUUAAAUCUAGAAGCUCAACUUCUAAUCGCGCCUGAAACUGGUCGGCUUCGAGGUCGGGAGAGGAUAGUGGAACUCACAGUGUAGCGGUGAAAUGCGUAGAUAUUGUGAGGAACACCAGUGGCGAAGGCGACUAUCUGGACCGAAUCUGACGCUGAGACGCGAAAGCGUGGGGAGCAAACAGGAUUAGAAACCCUUGUAGUCC
rnacentral:rRNA from 1 species